rnacentral:rRNA from 1 species
UACGGAGGGUGCGAGCGUUAUCCGGAUUCACUGGGUUUAAAGGGUGCGUAGGUGGGAAUGUAAGUCAGUGGUGAAAUCUCUGAGCUUAACUCAGAAACUGCCAUUGAUACUAUGUUUCUUGAAUUUUCUGGAGGUCGGCGGAAUAUGUCAUGUAGCGGUGAAAUGCUUAGAUAUGACAUAGAACACCAAUUGCGAAGGCAGCUGGCUACAGGGAUAUUGACACUGAGGCACGAAAGCGUGGGGAUCAAACAGG